ACUGGAGGCCCGAACCAGGGCACGUUGAAAAGUGCUUGGAUGACUUGUGGGUAGCGGAGAAAUUCCAAACGAACUUGGAGAUAGCUGGUUCUCUCCGAAAUAGCUUUAGGGCUAGCGUCGAAUGAUGACUCUUGGAGGUAGAGCACUGUUUGAUUGAGGGGUCCAUCCCGGAUUACCAAUAUCAGAUAAACUCCGAAUGCCAAGCAGUUAGUAUCGGCAGUCAGACUGCGAGUGCUAAGAUCCGUAGUCGAAAGGGAAACAGCCCAGACCACCAGCUAAGGUCCCCAAAUAAUUGUUAAGUGGAAAAGGAUGUGGGGUUGCACAGACAACUAGGAUGUUAGCUUAGAAGCAGCUAUUCAUUCAAAGAGUGCGUAAUAGCUCACUAGUCGAGUGACCCUGCGCCGAAAAUGUACCGGGGCUAAAACAAUUUACCGAAGCUGUGGAUUACCUUUUAGGUAAUGGUAGGAGAGCGUUCUAUGUGCAGAGAAGGUGUACCGCAAGGAGCACUGGAGUGCAUAGAAGUGAGAAUGCCGGUAUGAGUAGCGCAAGAUGGGUGAGAAUCCCAUCCACCGUAAGACUAAGGAUUCCAGGGGAAGGCUCGUCCGCCCUGGGUUAGUCGGGACCUAAGGAGAGACCGACAGGUGUAUCCGAUGGGCAACAGGUUGAUAUUCCUGUACUAGAGUAUAGAGUGAUGGAGGGACGCAGAAGGCUAGCUCAGCCGGACGAUUGGAAGAGUCCGGCCAAGCAGUGAGGCGUGGAUUGAGUCAAAUGCUUAGUCCUUUAACGCUGAGCUGUGAAGGGGAGCGAAGUUUAGUAGCGAAGUGAGCGAUGUCACGCUGCCAAGAAAAGCUUCUAACGUAAAUGUAUACUCUACCCGUACCGCAAACCGACACAGGUAGUCGAGGCGAGUAGCCUCAGGUGAUCGAGAGAACUCUCGUUAAGGAACUCGGCAAAAUGGCCCCGUAACUUCGGGAGAAGGGGCGCUGACUGAGAGGUCAGCCGCAGUGAAAAGGCCCAAGCAACUGUUUAUCAAAAACACAGCUCUCUGCAAAAUCGUAAGAUGACGUAUAGGGGGUGACGCCUGCCCGGUGCUGGAAGGUUAAGAGGAGUGCUUAGACGUUAGUCGAAGGUAUGAAUUGAAGCCCCAGUAAACGGCGGCCGUAACUAUAACGGUCCUAAGGUAGCGAAAUUCCUUGUCGGGUAAGUUCCGACCCGCACGAAAGGCGUAAUGAUUUGGGCACUGUCUCAACGAGAGACUCGGUGAAAUUUUAGUACCUGUGAAGAUGCAGGUUACCCGCGACAGGACGGAAAGACCCCAUGGAGCUUUACUGCAGUUUGAUAUUGCGUAUCUGUGACACAUGUACAGGAUAGGUAGGAGCCAA
rnacentral:rRNA from 1 species